GGCGGACGGGUGAGUAACGCGUAAAGAACUUGCCCUUUAGACUGGGAUAACAGAGGGAAACUUCUGAUAAUACUGGAUAAGUUAGUAUAUCGCAUGAUAUGCAAAUGAAAGCUACGGCACUAAAGGAGAGCUUUGCGUCCUAUUAGCUAGUUGGUAAGGUAAGAGCUUACCAAGGCGAUGAUAGGUAGCCGGCCUGAGAGGGUGGACGGCCACGAGGGGACUGAGAUACGGCCCUUACUCCUACGGGAGGCAGCAGCG
rnacentral:rRNA from 1 species